GGAAGAGGCCUUGUGAGCAGCAGGAGGUAAGGGGGCUCCUCCAUGCUCGCUCCCCGUUUGGGGAGAGAAAGCGUCGGUGGGCAGGAGUGCCCUACCCUGCUCCCCAGGGCCCCCAGGCAAAGCCCCUGCCCUGUGGAUGCUGACAUUCUGCUGCCUAAGAGGGGCGGCCUCCAUCCUGUUCUGGGUACAUCAACUUCAGGAAGCCCCACACUGGAAGACUGCCAGGGAGCAAGGACGAGGCCUGGGAAGGGAAAAAUAAGGUGAACACACUGACAAGAAGAAGCCCAAAGGAGGGUCAAGACAAGCCUAAAAAUACACAACAAGGUCCAGAUCACCACUUCCUACCCUGCCACAGAGCAGGCACAGCUCUCCUGGAUCCUCAGGGCUAUGUGUGUCCCAGGGGCCAUGGAGGGCACCCCAAACACAGAGCACCAGGCAGAGCGUCCUGUGGCCAGCUGAAUAAUGCCCCCUCCAGAGAUGUCAAAGUCUGAAUGGAAAUGUGAAUAUAUCAUCUUCUGUGACAGAAGAAUGGAGCAGAUGUGACUCGGUUAGAGAUUGAGAUGGAGAUUAUUCUUGAUCACCUGGAUGGGCAGGAUCUAGUCGCCAGGGCCUUCACAAGACAGAGAAUGAGGAUGAAGGUUGAAAGAAGGUGUGACAAAGGAAACAGAGGCAAAAGAAAGAGGAGAGAAGAUGCUGCAUGGUUUGCCUGCAAGAUGGAGGAAGUGGGACCAUCCCUGAAAGACAGGUGGCCUCUAGGAACUAGAAAGGCAAGGUACAGCCCCUCUCCCGGGUCUGCAGAGGAAAGCAGGCUCCAACAUGGUCUCUCGGCCCCUUGAGACUGCUUUUGGUCUUUGUCCCCCCAGAACCAGAUGAUAGUAAAC
ensembl:lncRNA